AUUUGGGGGAUAGUGAUGGUUUGCUGGCUGGGAGACACACGUGAUCAUGUGAAAUCAAUGCUUUGAAAUCUGUCUACUUUCAAGUUUGGACUUCAACAGUACCACCUGGACUCUUUUAUCUUUACGUUGAAUACUUCUUUCAAGCUCUUCCAUAUUUAUAAAAUCGCAAACAUGUUGAUAAAAGUUGAAGUAAUAGCCAUUAUUGGUGAUCACGUCUCUGCUUUCUUUCUUUCCUCUCUUUUUUCGUUUGUAUGACCAAGGUUCUGGUCUGCGGUCUACACUGCAUGCAUGUGUUUGGUACCCAAUAUGAUGGUCUUUAUUGACAUGAGCAUGAUAUAACCAUUUAGACAAUUGAAUUAACAUAUCACAAAUCAUCAUGUUUUCUAGUCAAUUUUAGCCUUGAUUUUUUGUUAAUAAACCAUCAAUACAUUGAGCAGUGGAUUUGAGCCAAACAUGACUAAUCGCAUGUUUGGAAAUCCUUCUGCAAUUGAUUCUUAAGCUAGAAUCAAUUAUGAAGAGAAGUUUCUAUGAGUACCUCCUAAAUAUUAGAAUUGAUUAUAAGGAAAAAGAAGCUAAUCUAAAUAAGCAAUAAUAUGAAUGGUUUAGAGGACGUGUAUUGUGCCCCUCUUCUACACAUGGGACCUGGUUUCUUUAUUUUAGAGGAGGGUUAUUGGGGGAAUCAACUGCCAUUUUGAUUAUUUUUUAUAAGGGUUGAUCUUUGUCUUUUUUAAUGUUUUUAUAUAUUAUGAUUUCCCUUAUUCUUCCAAACCAUGGAUUAGCUCAUGUUUGAAAAAUGUGUCUAAUAUUUUUUUGGCAUUGCACAUAAUAGGUUCCUUUGUGUUUCCAAAAUACAUAUUGAAGGGUAAAAAUUAAUUUAUAAAUUCUAAUUAGAUUAAAACUAAGGUGCUUAAUGUUAAAGUUUAUGAAGAAGUAAUGUUUGCAUAAUGGACAUAUAUGAGAAUGCCAAUUAGCAAUUGAAUUUAGCUUUAAAGCCUAUGGGCUAUGGCUUGGAAAUUGAAGCCCCACCAUCACACUAGGCAUGCCAAACCUUGAAGCUAAGGAAACAUGAAUGUGAUGAUUAAACAGUUACCGUAUUGAUUCCUUAGUUUCUAAAUAUAGCACUGAUUGUUUUACUUCCAUUCAUUUGAUAUGUAGAUAUAAAGAGAAAAAAUUAGUGUUAUGUAAUACAAGGAAUAGAACUAAAGGUUCAAUUCUUUUUUAUUAUUUCUUUCUACAGUACCAUAUAUACAAUGCUUUGAGUAGGUUGUAAGUUAUACUUGUUUUCUCAUCUAUGAUGUCCUUGGGUGAAGUUAAAGUAUAGCCGUCCUGUUUUAUUUAAUUUUACUCUUUUUUGAAAAUAGGGAAAAUGAUCGGCUACUAAUAACCUAUACACAUAGUAGUUAAUUUGUUCACACGUUUCAUGCAUGGGAAACUUUUAAGAUAAAUCACAUCAUUCAAGAUUAUCAUUUCAAAGCUUUCAAAAAAAAAAAGAUUAUCAUUUCAAAGAAAUAAAGAUCUCUUAACGUUUUGCUUUGUUGCAUCUCUCAUUCUCUCUGUUUGAACUUUCAUUGAGUAUGUUAGCUCUGCAUGGUAUAAUUGCGUCAUUACGUUAUGGGCCAAUAUUGUCUUCACAAACAAGCAAAUUUAUUGAGUUAAUAAUUAAAGAUUUGGGGGGUUAAGGGAGAGUCUCGUUACAACGAUAAGAUUGCUGUAACAUGACUUUAUUGUUACAGAUUCGACCAUGGAAUCAACCUCUUGUAAAAAUGCAAGGUAAGACGGUCUACAUUAGUUCCACAAAAUGAGUUUAGCCCCUCCUUAAACAUUACGCACAACGGAAGCUUUAUACAUCAGGUUUUCCUUUUUAAUUGAAGAUUUGGGGUUCAUUCAUUGGGGGCAUUAUUUUGCUAGAAUUAUUAAACUCUUUUUGAAUUACAACAAAAGUGCCAUAACAUUCUUGAUAGUGAACUCACUUAGUGAUCACCAGAAUAUUAAAAUCUGAUACACUAUCGCUUACUAUAUGGAGAAGAAGAAAAAGUUAACUGUGUUGCUGCCUUUCCACUGUUAUAUAUUGUAUUACUUGUAAGGUCUGUCACCACUAUUGGGUUGUUGAAUACUAAAUAGAUCACUGAUUAGAUUUAAUUUGAGGACAGAAGUUAUCUGAAGAAAUAUGAGAUAAAGGUCAUCAGAAACAAUGUCCAGAAAAAAUUAAAUCUGAAUAAGAGUUUUGUUAUGAAAUCAUCAUCACUCUGUUAUUAUUUGUUACUACUACUACUAUUAAUCUUUUCUUUAUGUGCUUCAAAUCCGUCUUUACUCUUUAGGGAGAAGGUUUGACUUUAUUUAUUACCCUCCUAAAGCAGAUAGCAUCUCUGUUUGGUGGAACCUACUACUAACAUAAACCAAAUAAAUACUAACUGCAUGGUUUCUAAAACAACAUUGUGUGAGAAGCAUGCAAUGAUUUUAGUAUAACACUGUCUCAGAUCUUGAUAUAUUCAUCAUAUGGUAUUUAACAUAGCAUUCAUUACCCUACAUUUGUUAGGGUGGUCUUCACCAUUUACUCUGAUACAUUCAAACAGAGCACUAUAUCUUUAGGGGAGAAUAUUAUCCUAAGUUCUUCACACUUCAAAUCCACUCACACUUAGUAAGAUAUAGGAAGAGAAAAGAGAGAAAUAAAAGAUACGAUAAGUGAUGUUAUAGAAAAAAAAAAGAGUGGAAAUGAGAAGAGAAAAUGGAGUGUAAGUGAAUCAAAACUCAUUUUCAGCCAUUGAAUCCAAUAAAAAUCAGCAAAUUCUUAUAAAUGUCAUCUCAUUUUAUCAAAAAUCAUAAUCCUUGACCAUAAAGAAAAGGAGAAAAAAAGUUUCACAACUCAUAAUCUGGUUGAGCAAUCUAAAUUGAAGUUUUAAAGUGCAUUUCAGUAUUUCUGUGUUAUAGCACGACAAAAUCACAAUGGGUUGGGAUUGAAUUUCAUUUUCUUAGAAAAGAAUAGUAAUGAUUAUUGGAUUUUUUAGUUACUGUUGGGCUUGCAAUGAGAUGAACCGGGGAAAUCACUUCAAUAUUGGGUUAUAGAGCAUAAGUGAUUUAGACAUCAUCUUCAUAAUUUUACCAUAAAACUUUAAGGCAGUGACGGAAGGAGUUCUUUCACUUACACAUUGCUCAAAUCUUGUUUUCUAUCUAAUAUGAGAUUUCUUUUAAUUUACAUUUAUAUAUAGUUAUACUCCUACAAUUAUAUUUAGAGAAUGAUUCCUCACAACUUGCAUUGUAAGCAGGGUCUCUAAUGUCUAAUGUGAAUGUGUUAAAUGGAAAAUGUAUGUAGCUGAACUACAAAGUAUCUGUAGUAUGCAGUGUAAAGAAGACUUGAUAGUUGAGGUAGUGAAAAAUUCACUUCAUCAUUUCUAAUUAUUAGUCAUAUAUUGUUGUUGAACUCGCACUGGUAUACGAAAGCUGGAAAGAAUGAUGAGAAUGACAGUUCUUUCUACUGCAAAUAAGAUUGAUUGAAUUGAGUUAUCCUAAGUAAUAGCAAGACAAAAGACAUGUGGUUUUUCUAGGUUAAACAUAUGUCUUGGGUUCGAGUUCCUGUGAAUGCAGCUGAGUUAAACAUUUGAACAAGGAAGUUUUAUCAUUUAUAAUGAUCCUACACGGUUCGAAUAGAACUACCCCGAUGGAGAAUACUAGUGAUUCAAAAGGUAAUUGCAUUUCUCCACAUUUGUACAGCUGGAUGAAAAUAAAAUGAAUAUUUUACUUAACCUGGAAAAUUCUGAUUGACAAACCUUAUAGAUUAGGACAUUGUUAUUGGUGGCACCCGACACCUAUUCAUGUCACUCCAUUGAAUUUCACAAAAAAUAUGUAUACUUUAAAGUGCGGUACAGGGAUGGUAUAAAUAGGUGUGAGGAUGGUAACAAUAUGGAUGCCCAGGAUAUUCAGCAAUUUUCCCGAUUGGUAUAAACUAUAUAGAGUAGGCACUAGGCAGCCAAUAACAUCAAAGAUACAAUCUGACCCAUCCAUGAUUUAAGUAUCAGUUAAAUUACAAUUUUGGAAACAGUAAAAAACGGUUAAUUGCAGCGGCAUCUUCAAUCAUACAUGCUGUAAUUGCUGUAAAUACACUGCUUCUUUGAGAAUGCUUGGAAGCAAGAUAGAUGAAUACUAUUAACGAUAUACAUGCCAAGUAUAUCUCAUCUCAGAUUUUGAUUUGCAUAUCAUAUGAUAGAUUUGAUUUUAAUCUAAUUAGACAUAUUGUAAUUUAGGAAAUUCUGUAAUUAGAGAUAGAAUCUCUAGCUGAUAUGUAGGCAUGAUAUUAGGAGUAAUUGCAGUAUGCUGAGGUGCAUCUGCUGUAUAUAACACACUGUUAUGCAAGGAAUAAAAUCAUCUGUUCCAUUCUUUACAUGGUAUCAGAGCCCUACAACCCUAGGCAGAAAACCUUGCGGCUGCUAUGGAAGAAACACAAUCAGAAACGUCUUCUGUAAAAGAAAACGUUGAGAAAAAGAAGUUGUCACCUUAUGAUCUCAACUCCAACGAUAAUCCUGGAAGUGUGAUCGCACAGGUGCAGCUGAAAGGUGAAAACUAUGAUGAAUGGGCCAGAGCUAUGAAGCGGUCCCUGUGAGCACGGAGAAAAUGGGGUUUCGUUGACGGAACCAUAACGGAACCCAAAGAAGGAUCCCCUCCCCUGAUUUGGAGGACUGGUGGACAGUUCAAGCCAUGUUGGGUGUCAUGGAUCCUGAACACAGUAGAGCCAACUCUACGAACGACCCUCUCAUAUCUUGAAACCGCCAAGGAGAUAUGGGAAGACAUAAAGGAGCGGUUCUCAGUGGUGAACGGUCCUAGAAUACAACAACUGAAAUCAGAACUGGCACAAUGCAAACAAGGAAAUUUGUCCAUAGUCGCUUAUUACGGAAAGCUAAAAGCACUGUGGGACGAAUUAGCAAACCAUGAACCAGCAUUAACUUGUACCUGCAAAGGGUGCAAGUGCGGACUUGCAGCAAAAAUUGAAAAACGCAAAGAAGAAGAACAAGGGCACAUGUUUCUGAUGGGUCUUGAUGACGGACUCUACGGAACGAUUCGCUCAAACGUGCUGGCCACCGAUCCUCUGCCAUCCUUAAACAAGAUGUACUCCAUUCUGGUGCAAGAAGAGAGUGUGCGAAAUAGGCCACAAACCAGAGAGGAGCGGCCAGAAGUCAUGGCCUUGGCUGCUCAAGCAAGCAUGAAGGCAAGAGGACGUGAAAACAAGAUUGACUCAUUCUGCUCAAACUGCAACAAAAAGGGACAUGAUGAGGCUGGCUGCUUUGAGAUUAUCGGUUAUCCAGAAUGGUAGGGUGAACGCCCGAGGAACAACGAAAAAUCUGGCGGACGAGGACGAGGUCAGAACCGGGGUGGAAGCACAGGAUCAAGCGGUGGUCGUGGUAGGGGACCGGCGCGUGUUCAUGCUGUACAAUGCUCAGGUUCAACCCUUGGUGAAGAAACAAGAAACUCAGCCACGACAAGAUUGAGCCAGGAGCAAUGGAAAACCUUGGUAGAAAUGCUUAAUAACUCAAAAGUCACUCCAAAUGAAAGCAUUACAGGACCGCACUAUGAAGAUGUUGAUUGGAAUGGGUGAACCGAGGGAUGGACUCUACUUUUUCCGGGAAGCUCCCAAGAAGCAGGCUUGCAAAGUUGAAGGCAUGAAUCUGUUAGAAGUAUGGCAUCAGCGGUUGGGGCAUCCGUCUUGGAAAACUACUCAGUUAGUGUCUAAUGAAGCUAGUAGUCAAUUUAGUGAUGUACAAAAUAAAGUUUGCGAGGCAUGUCAAAAAGCUAAGCAAACUAGGGAAAAAUUUUCCUUGUGCGAACAUCAAGCUUCUAAUAUAUUUGAUUCGAUU